CGCUGGAUGGCAGGUACCACCCAUUUCGGCGACCGUAGAUACACGCCUCGAGAUAAGUGAUGUUUGCUUGCGUGGCCGGAGAGAGAGUGUUAAACAACGCUGACAUGGCUGGACGUUGAGUGAUUAAAGCUGCCAGUCAAACAUAUACUAGGAUCCGUGUUCACACUACGUUCCCAUUUUCAUCAUCUUCCCUCUUCCGCUCUUCGGCUCUUCCUUCUACGGCACACCAGAGAAAAAAAAGGGGUAAAACAAGGAACCUGCUGCAGCAGUGAUGGUGGUGGUGGAGGUGGUUCCCGGCAGCCGCUGCGGCGCCGGUCCCGAGCAGCCAGCGGCCGCCGUUGCCCCUGUCGGAGCCACCCCUCGCCAUGACGGUCUCCAAGGUGCACGGCCACAAGCGACAUGCUCAUCCGCCCGGAGCUCCAUGCUGGGCCAAGAACAUGGAGAGCCAUCUGCAACCGCGACCCCGGGGAAUCAAAAGAUGUUGUGAAGGUGCUAAAAAAAUGAAUUGGACACAAAAAUCCAAAUGUCCACCUCCUUGCACUUACAGUGAGUAUCUUCACCUUGUCAUCUACUUCAAAAUGCAGUGGGCUAUUGGUAACUGUUAUUUUAAGAUAUUUUUGUUUUAUAUGAUGCUUCUAAAAUCAAACCCUGCCUCUCUGUUGUCUUAUACAUUUGCAUUUUUUUCUGAUUUCAGAAACAUUGCACUUUAUAUUUCCAUCCUUUAUCCUGAGUUUCAUGGCUACCCAGUCCUAGUUACUCUCGUGUAAUCAUCAUACUCAUGCAUCCUGCAACACCAUCAGCAUUUGUCCUAUGUUUCAUGGCUCAUUUCUUUUUAAAAUUGCAUAUAUAUAUAUGGUGUUCUUUAUUAAGAGGUUUUUUAAAUGCUGUAGGCGGUUGGGUCACUGUAUAAUGAGAUUAGUGGGUGUUACCUUUGACAGUGGCAUUAUUAGUAUUAUAUUUGAUGUGAACUCCAUUGUUGUAUGUAUGUUGGAAGUAGCAAAGGAGAAGUUUUGUUUGCUCUGAUCUAACUGAACCAGGUGGUUUCAUGGAGUCGAGUGAUCUUUGGAGUUGGAGGAAGUAGGAAAGGGAAAUGUUUCCAUCCUGGGGAAAUCUUCAUUUGCUAGCAGUAUGAAGUGGCAGCCUUAGGGUAUCAUUGAUGGAGGAUUAGUGCAUGUGUCUGAUCUUGCUGCAGGGAAGGAUUGUUUUUCUGCAUGUAUCUAUGGCCAUGCUGACAAGGGAACUUAUGAUUGUGGGUUCUCUAGGAGUGACGAACUAUAUGUGUGCAAUGCAGAGGUUAGAUUGUCUGAUGGUCUGCCUAUGCUACCUGAUGCGGGAAUGACUCAAAUGCUGGACUGUAACAAUGGGUCACCACUGGUGAAGCAGGCAUCGAAAAGAUUGCAGUUUUGUUGCAUUGGGGUCUACAUUUGCCGGUGAUUGUUGCUGGUUUGGGGGGGGUGCGUGGUGAUGGAGAUGGGACAUUUGUGAGCAGGUUAUGGGAUUUGGUUUUGUUCUUAUGGAGAGGCUGUGUUGCAGCGUUGUAUUAACACUAGUCGUAUCGAGGAAAUGUAAGUUUAUAUUUUAUCAUGACAAGAAGGUGAACCUGUGUAAACUUGUAUAUGUAUUCAGUUUAAUAUAUU